GAAGGUAUAGCUCAGUGGUAGAGGGCAUGCUUAGUAUGCACGAGGUCCUGGGUUCAAUCCCCAGUACCUCCA
rnacentral:tRNA from 1 species